CGGGAAUUUUGGGCAAUGGGCGAAAGCCUGACCCAGCAACGCCGCGUGAGGGAUGAAGUAUUUCGGUAUGUAAACCUCAAAAGAAUGGGAAGAAUAAAUGACGGUACCAUUUAUAAGCUCCGGCUAACUACGUGCCAGCAGCCGCGGUAAUACGUAGGGAGCAAGCGUUGUUCGGAUUUACUGGGCGUAAAGGGCGCGUAGGCGGCGCGGUAAGUCACUUGUGAAAUCUCUGAGCUUAACUCAGAACGGCCAAGUGAUACUGCUGGGCUAGAGUGCGGAAGAGGCAACCGGAACUCUUGGUGUAGCGGUGAAAUGCGUAGAUAUCUGGAAGAACACCAGUGGCGAAGGCGGUCAACUGGCCCAUAACUGACGCUCAUGCACGAAAGCGUGGGGAGCAAACA
rnacentral:rRNA from 1 species